AAUAAACACUCCCCGAGAAUCGAAACAUCCAAGUACCGGGCGAUUAAUACAUUAGAGCCCGUAAGUAGUGGCGAGCGAACGCGGGAUAGUUUAAACCGGAGAGUAGCCGGGCCGUAGAGGGUGGAAGCCCCUUUUAAAAACAUGCGAAUAGUAAGGCCCUGGGCCUGAAUACAGGAGCACCGCCUUCUACGCAUUAUUAAACAAACAAGCGAUAGUGUACUAGUACCGUAAGGGAAAGUU
rnacentral:rRNA from 1 species